rnacentral:lncRNA from 1 species
AUCUUGGGCACCUCUUGGGUCUCGCUUUCCUCCUCUGUAAAAUAAGGUUGGGGGACCAGAAAACAACAGCAUUCCUGGUCCAAUGAGAACUGCAAAAUCCUAGAAUCCCAGAAUUUGCCUCACAAAAUAAUCUAAUCAAUCCUCCUACGUCCAGAACUGGAUCACAAAAUCACAGAUUUAGAAACGGGAGGAACCCUUAAAGAAAAGAAGAGAGAACAGAAAGGACUGAGGAGCCGUGAUCCAAUCCACAGCAACACCCACAACUUUAGUGUUACAUGGUAAAGUAAAGCAUUUAACCUCCUUGAGACUCAGUUUCCUCACCUAUAAAAUGAGGAGGUUGGAUCUCUUAAUCUCUACUGUCUUUUUCUAAUUUCUCAGUAUAUGGUUCUGAAGGUAAUAGGAU